UUUUUUCUCUAUUGCUUGUCUAGCAUAAUAAGAGGUAACCACAACACCUGAGAAGAUGAACCCAUAAAUACAUUUUUUUAUUAUAUUGAACCUGCCAAUAUCAGGUUUACUAAAAUCUGAACACUUGACACAUGUGAGAUUAAUUAUAGAAUUAGAUUUUAAAGUUGAUUUAAACAAUUGACUAGGCAAACGAUUUAACAACAUAGUUACUCGAAUAGAGGAGAAAAACAAGUCACAUGUUUCCAAUCAGCUGAUUUCAUCCACACUUGUGUUUUGCUUCACCAUUUUCAAUCUAAUGAACUUCAUUUUAAUCGAUUCAACAGCAAUUUAGCUAAUUUAAUUAUCAUAUUUUGAUCAAAAAAUUUGGAUAAUUGAUCAUGAAUUACUUCUGUCGGACAUUGGUCAAUACAUUAUUGGCUCGACCAGCUGUUACUCCUGAACUAAAUUUGAUGCAAAAGAGAGGUCCUAGAAUAUUUUUCAUGAAAAGAUUAUCUGAAGUGAAAACUCACCGUAAAAACUCAUUCAGAGCUCAUAUGUACCAGCCAAGCAAACGAAAAAUAAUAAUGCGAAAGCUCCUCAACAGCAAAUCCAUUCUGGCGACCUGCUAUUAACCUAAAUCAGGUACAUAUUUAUCAGGAUAUUGGAUCAAUUUAAAAAAGCAAAGUAACUAUGUUUAGAUAAAAUAGCAUUUACAGUUUGAUUAAAGUUCAACCUUAAGAUUGAUGACAAA